GUUUCCUUGUUCAGAGCUAUUGGAGGUAGGAAGUUCAUCAGGGAAGCUGAUACUGGUCUGAGUAAAUAUAAAUGCUUGAGGUUGGCAGAGGAUGGGUUAGAGAUAUUUUCAGAAAUAGAAUUGCCUGAGCUUGGUGAGAAAACAGAUGUGACAAAAACAGAGUGGAGGGCAUGGAAAACUCCAGAUGAUUCUGUGUUUUCUAGUAGCAGUGACUAGUUGAAUGGCGACAUAUUACCUAAGAAUUGCAAAGAAGAGGAGUGUGACUGAAGGGAAAAACCGAGGAUUCUAGUUUGAAAAUACUGAGUGUGAGAUGUCCACUCCCACGGUGGAUGUGUCCGGCAGUUAGAAAUAUGAAUAUUCAGAUGGGAGAAAGAUCAGAGAUGAAGACCCAUACUGGGAAGAUGGUAGCUGGCCAUGGUCUGCCAGUCACCACCAGAAGACUGCCCUCUUCACAGGACUACCCAUCUCUCUACCCAAGAUCCUACUGAAUCUACCCUUUCUCUGACUGCCACCCUGUGAAGCUGAAUGAAGAGACGACAAUGGAGUCAAAGAAAGAAAGAGAUGAGAAACAGCUGGCACCAGCAUCUAGCUUGAGUCAAUAAGAAGGAUACGACAUCAGUUUGAAAAGAGCCCCUAUCAGAGCAACACGAAUUCUGAUAAAAUUGAAGCAAAGACUAAUAUUGAAUUUAUGAAGGUUGGGUGGCAGAAUGGUGAAGUCAUUAAUGCAUUACAAAACAUUUAUGAGGACAACACCCAAAGAAAUCAGCAGUUUACAGAUAGAUAACUCAUCUUAAGAAGAAACAAGAUGAUGUUCAAGAUGACGACCACAGCAGAGAUCAUCCACAUCAAUUUGCAAGGAAAAAAUUCAACUUGUUUGUGCCCUAACUGAAAAGGACAGAAGAUGAACAGCACACACAAUAACCAACAUCACAGACAUCUUAAUUUGUUCAGCAUACGUAAUUCUGACUGGAAAAUUAAAGGUCAUCAAAUGUUCCUUUUGAUGGGUGCCAAAACCAUUGCACCCAGAUCAGCUGCAGACAAGAGUAGAAAUUUCCAUGGAAACUAAGUAAGUGGGAUCAAAAUCCUGAAGCACUUCUCUGAAGAAUUGUAACAGUAGAUGAAACAUGGCUUUAUCAGUAUGAUCCUGCAGACAAAGCACAACCAAAGUAAUGGCUACCAAGAGGUGAAAGUGGUCCAGUCAAAGCAAAAGUGGACCAUUCAAGAGCAAAGGUCAUGGCAACAGUUUUUGGGAAUGCUCAAGGCAUUUUGCUUGCUGACUUUCUGAAGAGCCAGAGAGUAAUAAAAUCUGCUUAUUAUGAAAGUAUUUUGAGAGAGCCAAAGCAUUAGCAGAAAAAUAUCAGGGAAAUCUUCAACCAGAGAGUCUUUCUCCACCAGGACAAUGCUCCUGCUCACUCCUUUCAUACAACAAUGGCAAUUUUGCAAAAGUUUCAGUGAGAUUUGGCAUUCAUCUUACUGUCUUGAUUUGGCUCUUCCUGACUUCCUUUUAUCUUCUAAUUAAAAAAAAAUCUUUAAAGGGUAGCCAUUUUUCUUUAGUUAAUAAUGUAAAAAAGACUGCAACGACAUGGUUAAAUUCCCAGGACCCUCAGUUCUUUAGGGAUGGACUAACUAAAUGGCUGGUAUCAUGACUUACAAAAGUGUCUUGAACUUGAUGGAGCCCAUGUUGAGAAAUAAAGAUUAUGUUUUCCAUGUUAUCUUUUAACGUCAUUUUUUUCAUGAACUUUUAGAAGUCUCCUUGUAUUGUUUGUCACCAUAACAUAGAGAAGAUAUGAUCUUCUUUUUCUUUGUAUUAGUUUUCCUUGCAUAUCUGACCUUCAGUGUGCCUUCAGUACAGGUGAUUGCAGAAGAGAAGGUCAAAUUGGGUAGGGGCACCGAGAAUGCCUGAUCCACUGUUCACCUGGCCACCCCAUCACUUGAACACUAUCACUCUCCAAGAGCAAUUACCGCUCUACUUAGAACAAGUACCCUAAAUAUCAGAGGCCCAACUUCCCCCCAUGGGUACACUUCUGUAAAAAGAGCUACUGACUCUUCAGAAGAGAAGCUUGGCUCUCUGUCCCUUUGCAUUUCUUGAAACUUCCAGCUCACUCAGAACUGGAGCACACUGAACUACACAAAACAUACCAGAAUGUAAUGAGCCUUCUCUACCCCUAAUUUUCACAUCAGUAACAAGUCAUUUCUGUCUAGUAACCAAGUAAUUACUAGUAACCAAGUAGCUUCUCAUACUUUGCAGGCAUUAUUAGCAUGGAGCACAGUCAAUUCAAAACCUGUUUUUCCCACCAGUAGCAGUGAGACUUUGGGCUAGUCAUGUGACCUUGCCAAACCUUUAUUUGCUUGUUUACUUAUUUCAUGAAAUAGGAGUCAUCAUCCUAAUAACACCUACUUCUUUAAGAUUUUACUCUCAUUUAAUAAGCUCGCCCAAGUAAACUGCUUAUACA